GCCCUUGUAGCCCAAUCAGGCAGAGGCAAGCGACUUAAAAUCGCUGUAGUGCAGGUUCAAAUCCUGCCAGGGGCAUCA
rnacentral:tRNA from 1 species